rnacentral:rRNA from 1 species
UGGGGAAUAUUGGGCAAUGGGCGAAAGCCUGACCCAGCGACGCCGCGUGAAGGAUGAAGGUCUUCGGAUUGUAAACUUCUGUUGACGGGGACGAAGAAAAUGACGGUACCUGUAUAGGAAGCCACGGCUAACUACGUGCCAGCAGCCGCGGUAAUACGUAGGUGGCAAGCGUUGUCCGGAAUUACUGGGUGUAAAGGGAGAGUAGGCGGGAUUGCAAGUCCGUUGUUAAAUCUAUCGGCUUAACCGGUAGCUGCGGCGGAAACUGUAGUUCUUGAGUGAAGUAGAGGCAGGCGGAAUUCCUAGUGUAGCGGUGAAAUGCGUAGAUAUUAGGAGGAACACCAGUGGCGAAGGCGGCCUGCUGGGCUUUAACUGACGCUGAGGCUCGAAAGUGUGGGGAGCAAACAGGAUUAGAUACCCUGGUAGU